UACAGGGGGUGCAAACGUUGUCCGGAAUUAUUGGGCGUAAAGAGCUCGUAGGCGGUGUGUCGCGUCGGCCGUGAAAACCUGCAGCUUAACUGUGGGCUUGCGGUCGAUACGGGCAUCACUGGAGUUCGGCAGGGGAGACUGGAAUUCCUGGUGUAGCGGUGAAAUGCGCAGAUAUCAGGAGGAACACCGAUGGCGAAGGCAGGUCUCUGGGCCAUAACUGACGCUGAGAAGCGAAAGCAUGGGGAGCGAACAGG
rnacentral:rRNA from 1 species